CACUAAGAAGCUUUGACGGUCUUAAGCGUUAGCCUUUUAAGCUGAAUUUUGGUGACUACCGCCCACCCUUAGUGA
rnacentral:tRNA from 1 species